rnacentral:misc_RNA from 1 species
CCCCGAUAAGGAUGUAGGCCAGUCGGGAUCGCAGUUUUAAUCUUUUUUUCCUCGUUGGCGAGGGCCACCGAGCUCGCUUCUGGGAGGUAGGGGUACAGAGAACGACGCCCACCACAGCGUGUGUAUCCUGAAGGCCCAGCGGUCGGCGAGGAGCGGACCCAUGCCGACGAGGGACGUAACAGUCCCAGGCGGCGAUUGACCCCGCCGCCUGGCGGCUGAGAGCGCUGGUUUGGUUGUCUAUACUCGAUCUUUAAUCGGAUCAACACCACACUUUGGGCCCUUCUCCCGCCUGACCGGCGGGCGUGGGGCCCUGCCUGGUGACCCUUUUAUGGUUCGUUCUCUUCGACUGCUGAUGCAAUGCUUUUAUUUUUUUACCCCGGGAUUCAAUUCUCUUAGGUACGUGGAGUCUGGUGAUAUAUCACUAUAGCACGCAAAGCACGAGGGGGGUUCGAAGUCGAGCAAGGCGCGAAGGCCAGGCCAGAGCCUCACGUCCCAGGGCGAAGAAGAUGCUACGUGAACGGCUGGCAAGUUUACUACACCGGCUCCGUAACCCUUGUCUAUGAGCACUCUCGUUUCCUCGGCAGGUCCGCCUGCCAAUGGGGACAACACCAAACCUUUUUGCAGUAGCAGUAAUCGUAAACAAACAAAAAAUCAAAACUUUCAACAACGGAUCUCUUGGUUCUGGCAUCGAUGAAGAACGCAGCGAAAUGCGAUAAGUAGUGUGAAUUGCAGAAUUCAGUGAAUCAUCGAAUCUUUGAACGCACAUUGCGCCCUGUGGUAUUCCGCAGGGCAUGCCUGUUCGAGCGUCAUUCAACCUCCUCAAGCUCUGCUUGGUGUUGGGCGUUUGUCCCGCCUCCCCGGCGCGGACUCGCCUCAAAAACAUUGGCAGCCGUCACCCUGGCUUCGAGCGCAGCACAUUCGCGCCCGGCACCUAAGUGGCGGCUCCCAGAAGCCCACCCCCUCGGUUGACCUCGGAUCAG